CAGGAUGGCCUCCCUGGCACCCGCCCACGCACCCGGGCCCCGCAGCCGGUACUGGUACGGCGUGCAGGGACCGAAGGCCACCUCCAGAGCCAGCUUGGGGUCCGUGAGGAACAGGACCUGUUUGGCUGUGUUGCUCAGCUCCACUGCGAUAUCGACGCCUGAGUUCCCGGUGCCAACCACGACCACCCGCUUUCCCAAAAAGGACUGUGGGCUCUUGUAGUCCCGGCUGUGCAGAACAGUCAGUGCAGCUGUUUGGCCAGUGCAGACCCUGCCUGACACCUGACCAGGAGGGCAAGACAGCACCAAACAUCCAAGUGCAGGCCAGGAGCCUGCAGCACC